UACGGAGGGUGCGAGCGUUGUCCGGAAUCACUGGGCGUAAAGGGCGCGUAGGCGGCCUGAUAAGUAGGGGGUGAAAUCCUGCGGCUUAACCGCAGGGCUGCCUUCUAAACUGUCAGGCUUGAGCACAGUAGAGGCAGGUGGAAUUCCCGGUGUAGCGGUGGAAUGCGUAGAGAUCGGGAAGAACACCCGUGGCGAAGGCGGCUCACUGGCCCGGUACUGACGCUGAGGCGCGAAAGCGUGGGGAGCAAACAGG
rnacentral:rRNA from 1 species